GAGAGUUAAACAGUACGUGAAAUUGUUGAAAGGGAAACGAUUGAAGUCAGUCAUACUAACGGGAAAUCAACCUCUUGAGUUUGGUCUCGUGGGUUUCGAAGAGUUUUAAAAGCCUUCGGAUUUUCGAGAUUGGGCUCUUCUGGUGUACUUUCUCGUACGGUUAGUCAACAUCGGUUUUGAAUGUCAUAAAAUGACUGGAGGAAUGUGGCUUCGAUCUCGUAUUGAAGUGUUAUAGCCUUUGGUAGAUGUGAUGUUCGAGACCGAGGAUUGCAACGGAUACCCUUCUGGGCUAUUCGUCUGAUCUCUGAAACGUUGCCUUGAUGUCGAAAGCUUGCUUAUGAUGUUAAGGGUAUUACGGUCAAAAGGUUAGAACGGAUUAAAUUCGUUAAGGAUGUUGACGUAAUGACUUUAAACGA
rnacentral:rRNA from 1 species